rnacentral:snoRNA from 1 species
ACGACCUUACUUGAACAGGAUCUGUUCUAUAGGCUCGUACCUCUGUAUUCUUGAUUCCUAAGAAGACAGAAACCCAUGUUCGGUUGAUGACUCAUGACCAUGGAACUAGAGCGUGAUUAACAGAGCCCCAUGGUCUUGACCAUGGCUCAGUAGAGGAUCGUUGCCAGCCCAUUUGAUGGGUUGCGGCAUCGUUCCAUGGUUGUCUGACAAACA